rnacentral:rRNA from 1 species
GACGAACGCUGGCGGCGUGCUUAACACAUGCAAGUCGAACGGAAAGGCCCCUUCGGGGGUACUCGAGUGGCGAACGGGUGAGUAACACGUGAGUAACCUGCCCUUGACUUCGGGAUAACUUCAGGAAACUGGGGCUAAUUCCGGAUAGGAAUCCUUGCUGCAUGGUGGGGGUUGGAAAGCUUCGGCGGUUUUGGAUGGACUCGCGGCUUAUCAGCUUGUUGGUGGGGUAGUGGCUUACCAAGGCUUUGACGGGUAGCCGGCCUGAGAGGGCGACCGGCCACAUUGGGACUGAGAUACGGCCCAGACUCCUACGGGAGGCAGCAGUGGGGAAUAUUGCACAAUGGGCGGAAGCCUGAUGCAGCAACGCCGCGUGCGGGAUGACGGCCUUCGGGUUGUAAACCGCUUUCAGCAGGGGCGAAGCUUGUGGUGACGGUACCUGCAGAAGAAGCACCGGCUAACUACGUG